rnacentral:lncRNA from 1 species
UCAGUGACGGGCAGCGAGGACGCCUGCGUGCAUUUCUUCGACGUGGGGCGCUCGGCCCGGGCCACGGUCAACACCCUGCAGGGCCACGGCGGCGCCGUGCUGGCCGUGGCCUUCAACUGCGACGAGAGCCUGCUGGCCUCCAGCGACGCCACCGGCACCGUCAUCGUCUGGCGCCGCCAGCACGCCUGAAACCCCCCCGCGGUCCCCCCCCCCCCCCCCCCUCCCCGGCAAGGCACGGACCCCCCAGCUGCGUUCAACAAGCCUUGUUUUGCACCCCCGCUGUGGGUUUUGGGUCAGAAAAGGUACUUGCGGCACGCGGCGGCCCCGCACUUGCACUCGAUGCGGCCCCGGGAGCGGGGGGAGCCCCCCAGGCCCCCCCCCGCCAGCCCGAAGUUGGAGUCCAUGCGGGUGCUCUCGGCGUCCACCGGGUCCACUGCGGGGAGAGGGGGGGGUGAGGGGGUGGCCUGCGGGCUUGUGGGGCACGCUGUGGGGUGCUACAGGUCAGGGUGUGGGGUGCCGUGGGGCACUGUGGGGGUGCUAUGGGUCACGCCGUGGGGUGCUGUGGGGCGCAGUGGGGUGCUAUGGGGUGCUAUGGGUCACGCAGUGGGGCGCAGUGGGGCGCUAUGGGUCACGCCGUGGGGCGCCGUGGGGCACAGUGGGGUGCUAUGGGUCACGCCGUGGGGUGCUGUGGGGCACAGUGGGGUGCUAUGGGUCACGCCGUGGGGCGCAGUGGGGCCGUACCGUGCAUGUUGUAGUCGAAGGUGAGCUCCUCGCCGGCGCGGAUGGGGCGCGUGGCGAACAGGGCGAUGCGCGGCAGGCGCUCGUCCAGGUUCUCGAUGAAGACGUUGUACACCUGCAGGUUGGGGUCGCACUGGGGGGGGAGAGGGCGGGGUCAGACGGGGACACGCCCCCUGCCCCGCCUACUGCAUGUGAUUGACAGCUGGGGAGCCCCGCCCACUGACUCGGAGGUGAAAGGGGGGGGAAUGGGUCAUUUGUGAGUGGGGCCUUAAUUAGGGGGUGAUUAGUGAACAGCCAGGGGUAAUUAGCCAUUAGCCUAGAGUAAUUAGCAAUUGGUCAGGGGCAAUUAGCUAUCAGCCCAGGCCAAUUAGCCCUUGGCCAGGGUAAUUAGCAAUUACUCAGGGGCAAUUAGCGAUCGGCCCAGGGGCAAUUUCAGCUGUCAGCUGGGGGCAGUUAGCCAUUAGCAGGGGGCCACCAGUGGGGCAAUUAGCCCCGGCGGGGGGCAGUUAGCCAUUAGCGGGGUUCGUUAGCUGUCGGGGGGGGGGGUUAAUUAGCGUCUCGUUACGCACGCUGUGGUUAACGAAGUGGGAGAUAUUGCCGUAGUGCGCGGCGUCCACGGUGUAGACGUCCUCCACAUAGUCCAGGUCGAAGAGGUACGUGGCGCCCUGCCGGUCGUACACCUGCCCCCGCCGCUCCGCCUCCUCCGACGUGAUGAUCUGGGGGGGAUCCGCGUCAGCACGGCCCCCCCUGGGGUCCCCCAAACCCCCCUGGGGUCUCUCUGGGGC